rnacentral:rRNA from 1 species
GAAAGGCCAAUCAAACCGGGAGAUAGCUGGUUCUCCCCGAAAGCUAUUUAGGUAGCGCCUCGUGAACUCAUCUUCGGGGGUAGAGCACUGUUUCGGCUAGGGGGCCAUCCCGGCUUACCAACCCGAUGCAAACUACGAAUACCGAAGAAUGUUAUCACGGGAGACACACGGCGGGKGCUAACGUCCGUCGUGAAGAGGGAAACAACCCAGACCGCCAGCUAAGGUCCCAAAGUCAUGGUUAAGUGGGAAACGAUGUGGGAAGGCACAGACAGCCAGGAUGUUGGCUUAGAAGCAGCCAUCAUUUAAAGAAAGCGUAAUAGCUCACUGGUCGAGUCGGCCUGCGCGGAAGAUGUAACGGGGCUAAACCAUGCACCGAAGCUGCGGCAGCGACGCUUAUGCGUUGUUGGGUAGGGGAGCGUUCUGUAAGCCGUUGAAGGUGGCCUGUGAGGGUUGCUGGAGGUAUCAGAAGUGCGAAUGCUGACAUAAGUAACGAUAAAGCGGGUGAAAAGCCCGCUCGCCGGAAGACCAAGGGUUCCUGUCCAACGUUAAUCGGGGCAGGGUGAGUCGACCCCUAAGGCGAGGCCGAAAGGCGUAGUCGAUGGGAAACAGGUUAAUAUUCCUGUACUUGGUGUUACUGCGAAGGGGGGACGGAGAAGGCUAUGUUAGCCGGGCGACGGUUGUCCCGGUUUAAGCAUGUAGGCGGAGGUUCCAGGUAAAUCCGGUACCUUAUUAACGCUGAGGUGUGAUGACGAGGCACUACGGUGCUGAAGUAACAAAUGCCCUGCUUCCAGGAAAAGCCUCUAAGCAUCAGGUAACACGAAAUCGUACCCCAAACCGACACAGGUGGUCAGGUAGAGAAUACCAAGGCGCUUGAGAGAACUCGGGUGAAGGAACUAGGCAAAAUGGUGCCGUAACUUCGGGAGAAGGCACGCUGAUAUGUAGGUGAAGCCCCUGCGGGUGGAGCUGAAAUCAGUCGAAGAUACCAGCUGGCUGCAACUGUUUAUUAAAAACACAGCACUGUGCAAACACGAAAGUGGACGUAUACGGUGUGACGCCUGCCCGGUGCCGGAAGGUUAAUUGAUGGGGUUAGCGGYAACGCGAAGCUCUUGAUCGAAGCCCCGGUAAACGGCGGCCGUAACUAUAACGGUCCUAAGGUAGCGAAAUUCCUUGUCGGGUAAGUUCCGACCUGCACGAAUGGCGUAAUGAUGGCCAGGCUGUCUCCACCCGAGACUCAGUGAAAUUGAACUCGCUGUGAAGAUGCAGUGUACCCGCGGCAAGACGGAAAGACCCCGUGAACCUUUACUAUAGCUUGACACUGAACACUGGUCCUUGAUGUGUAGGAUAGGUGGGAGGCUUUGAAGCGUGGACGCCAGUCUGCGUGGAGCCRMCCUUGAAAUACCACCCUUUAAUGGCUGGUGUUCUAACGUAGACCCGUGAUCCGGGUUGCGGACAGUGUCUGGUGGGUAGUUUGACUGGGGCGGUCUCCUCCCAAAGAGUAACGGAGGAGCACGAAGGUUAGCUAAUCCUGGUCGGACAUCAGGAGGUUAGUGCAAUGGCAUAAGCUAGCUUGACUGCGAGAGUGACGGCUCGAGCAGGUGCGAAAGCAGGUCAUAGUGAUCCGGUGGUUCUGAAUGGAAGGGCCAUCGCUCAACGGAUAAAAGGUACUCCGGGGAUAACAGGCUGAUACCGCCCAAGAGUUCAUAUCGACGGCGGUGUUUGGCACCUCGAUGUCGGCUCAUCACAUCCUGGGGCUGAAGUAGGUCCCAAGGGUAUGGCUGUUCGCCAUUUAAAGUGGUACGCGAGCUGGGUUUAGAACGUCGUGAGACAGUUCGGUCCCUAUCUGCCGUGGGCGCUGGAGAAUUGAGGGGGGCUGCUCCUAGUACGAGAGGACCGGAGUGGACGCAUCACUGGUGUUCGGGUUGUCAUGCCAAUGGCACUGCCCGGUAGCUAAAUGCGGAAGAGAUAAGUGCUGAAAGCAUCUAAGCACGAAACUUGCCCCGAGAUGAGUUCUCCCUGAGACUWUAAGUCUCCUGAAGGAACGUUGAAGACGACGACGUUGAUAGGUCGGGUGUGUAAGCGCAGCGAUGCGUUGAGCUAACCGAUACUAAUGAACCGUGAGGCUUAACCUUACAACGCCGAAGCUGUU